rnacentral:rRNA from 1 species
UACGAAGGGGGCUAGCGUUGUUCGGAAUUACUGGGCGUAAAGGGCGCGCAGGCGGCUAUCCAAGUCAGGCGUGAAAGCCCCGGGCUUAACCUGGGAGGUGCGUCUGGGACUGGGUGGCUAGAGUUCGGGAGAGGAGAGUGGAAUUCCCAGUGUAGAGGUGAAAUUCGUAGAUAUUGGGAAGAACACCGGUGGCGAAGGCGGCUCUCUGGACCGAGACUGACGCUGAGGCGCGAAAGCGUGGGGAGCAAACAGG